rnacentral:snRNA from 1 species
AAACGUUCCAUAUUUUUUUGGAACGAUACAGAGAAGAUUAACAUGGCCCCUGUGCAAGGAUGACACACAAAUUUGUGAAGCGUUCCAUAUUUUA